UUGUGAUUUGUUCAUGCUAAUAAUGCAAUCUUAAAAGGAAUUGAUCAAUUGUGUUGUUAUAAAAGCUGGCAUUACAUUAUGUUCGUCAUGAAGUAUCAUACGUCUUUCGACAAACGGCAACCGCUAUGCGGUAAGAAUACGCAACACGCCGCGCGUUUUAUUUUUAAACAACGUAUGUUUAUUAAUCUAUUAGGCCGGGUCCAGACGUACGCUAAGUGCCGACGAAGAGAUAAAAAAAUCACAAACACAGGAAAAUAAAAAUGUGUUUCGUAUAAGCAGCGCAGGGCGACGAGGUAUAUUAGAUUAAGAGAAACAGACGGGGGGCAUUCGUACCUGUUCCGUUAGAGGUGAAAUUCCUUGGAUCGGCGCAAGACGAACGACUGCGAAAGCAUUUGCCAAGAAUGUUUUCUUUAAUCAAGA
rnacentral:ncRNA from 1 species